CUGGGAGUCAUUUUGACUCUGCGCCUUCCUGAACCUACUAGGUCCCGUCCAUCAGCAAGUCCUAUAGUGAGUGAUAAGCUUUGCUUCUGUGGCCCCAACCCAAACCUCAAAUUGUAGCUCUUAUAAUUCCCACAUGUUGUGGGAGGGACCCGGUGGGAGAUGACUGAAUCAUGGGGGCGGGUCUUUCCCAUGCUGUUCUCAUGAUAGUGAAUGCGGCUCACGAGAUCUGAUGGUUUUAAAAAACACGAGUUUCUUUGCACGAGCUCUUAUUUUUUUUGCCUGCUGCCAUCCACGUAAGAUGUGACCUGCUCCUCCUUGCCAUUCGCCAUGAUUGUGAGGCCUCCCCAGCCAUGUGAAACUUGAUAACAAGAACAAUAUGAUGGAGAAUGAGCUGUUCCCUGACCAGUGAGAAAAAUGUGACUUUCAGAUUCCACAGUGCUGCUGCUGAGCCGGGAGAAUAGAAGCGUCCAAGUCAGUGCCUUCAGAGAUCCAGCUGACUUCAAGAGGGCUGAGGUCCACCCAGGGCCACCAGCAUCAGGAAGGAGACAGCUUUGCAGUGACUCCACCCGCUAUGUGCUGGGAGGCAUUGGCUGACUCCAAAGCACACAGCAAUUUCGGCUUGGCCCACGGCAGCAAACAGCUGUGCCAAUGCCCAUCCUAACGAGAAUAACGCAAGGCUUAGCCUGUAAUCCACCCCUCUGCAGAAACCAAUCAUUCCUCCUCAUUACCGAGCGAAGAAAUGCCUCUCAAGGCUCCUUUUCCUCCUUACAAACAAAAUAAAACAAAUCCUUCCUAUGGAUUUCAUUUGCCAUUUAAUGCAACCUAAUGAUUUCCAAUUGAAACCAUAUUUGUAUUUGUAUUGACUUAUUAAUAGCACAUCCAUUUUCCACACAAUAAAGCCUGAACAUACACUGAGGACUUUGACCAAAAUGCAUUAGGUAGCAUUAAAGAUUAAAUAAACACUGUUUCUAUGAAUAAUGUUUAAUGUCACCUAUUAGUCCAUUGAAAAUUGAUCUCUGGGUACUUCAAGCUGGGGUUCCAAGGAGUACAUUUUGAACAUAUUAUGAGUAAUGACUAUGCAUUAGGACAUGAAAUGGAUUCCAGGCCCUCAGUAGAGCUUGCUACUUUACUAUAUUCUGGUUAAUUUGCACAAAUAGUUGCAAUGUCAAUGGCAAAACCCAAGCACCAAACUGCAAUACAUGCCUGAUUCCGAAAAGCAACAUAGAAAUGGCUUAAAAGAAAAAUGAGAAACAUGUUUUGUUUUUUUUUCCCUUCCUCUGAGAACAGUGGUAGUAUUUGCUUACUUUCAUGUUUAUUGAUCUUUGAUGUUUCUCCUUAAAUUUUGGUAGACUGUGUUCCACACUAGAGUUCAGACAUGAUUUCCUAGCCGGACGCGGUGGCUCACGCCUGUAAUCCCAGCACUUUGGGAGGCCGAGGCGGGCGGAUCACGAGGUCAGGAGAUCGAGACCAUCUGGGUUAACACGGUGAAACCCCGUCUCUACUAAAAAUACAAAAAAAUUAGCCAGGCACAGUGGCAGGUGCCUGUAGUCCCAGCUACUCGGGAGGCUGAGGCAGGAGAAUGGCGUGAACCCAGGAGGCAGAGCUUGCAGUGAGUGGAGAUCGUGCCACUGCACUCCAGCCUGGGUGAUAAAGUGAGACUCUGUCUCAAAAAAAAAAAAAAAAAAAAAAAAUGAGUUCCCUUCUGCUCUGCCACAAGCUAAGGUGUGAGCUCCUCUCAGCUCUCUCCACUUAAAAAAGGAAAUCGUUGGGACACAGGCUCUGAAAGCUCUGGCAUUUCCUGACUCUGUGAUUUCACCAGAUAUAAAUCCCAUAAGGAAAAAGAUGGUGUCCUCUUUGACUUUGUGUCCCAAUUGCCCCAGCACAGUAUCAGACACCCAAAAAAGGCCUGGGUAAGAGGAAGGCUAGACUUUCAGAAAUGUGUUGAGAAGUCAGAUGUUCCUGGUAGACACGGCUUCAUUAGGCCAAGAGUCAUCAUUAUAAUGAUAACAAUUACUGUUUAUUGAGUACCUUCUAUGAGCAGGCGAG
rnacentral:lncRNA from 10 species